AGAUAUUUAUAUUAUUAAUAGGAAAGUCAUAAAUAUAUAAAUUAUAUUAUAUAAUUAAUAUAUAAUAAAAUAAAUUAUAUAUUUUAUUUAUAAUAUUAUUUCUUUAUAAGAUAAAUAUUAUCUAAUUAAUAAUUAGAUUGAAUAAUAUUUAUAAAGAAAUAUAUAUAUAUAUAAAAAGUCAUUAUAUAAAUUUAAUUAUAAUUUAAAUAAAUUUUAUAUAAAUUAAUAUAAUAUUAAUAAAGUAAUUAGUAUAAAUAAAUAAUAUGAAAAUAAAACUUAAUAAAUAUAUAAAUAUAGUCCAUAUAUAUAUAUUAAUAAAAAAAAGUAAUAUAUAUAUAUAUAUUGGAAUAGUUAUAUUAUUAUACAGAAAUAUGCUUAAUUAUAAUAUAAUAUCCA
rnacentral:RNase_MRP_RNA from 1 species